rnacentral:rRNA from 1 species
GACGAACGUUGGCGGCGUGCUUAAUACAUGCAAGUCAACUGAAGCAGUGGUAGCAAUAUCGCUGUGGAGGUGGCGCACGGGUGAGUAACACGUAGGUAAUCUGCCUUCAGGUCUGGCAUAACUCCGGGAAACCGGGGCUAAUAGCAGAUGAUGCAUCGGCUCGACAUCGAGACAGUUGUUAAAGCUAUGGCGCCUGAAGAUGAGCCUGCGUCUGAUUAGCUAGUUGGCGGGGUAACGGCCCACCAAGGCAACGAUCAGUAGCUGGUCUGAGAGGAUGAUCAGCCACACUGGAACUGAGACACGGUCCAGACUCCUACGGGAGGCAGCAGUAAGGAAUAUUGCUCAAUGGGAGAAAUCCUGAAGCAGCAACGCCGCGUGAGGGACGAAGGGCUUUUGCUUGUAAACCUCUGUAGUGAGAGAAAAAAAUCCCAAUCUUUGGGACAUGAUGGUAUCUCAAAAGUAAGCCCCGGCUAACUACGUG